ensembl:lncRNA
GGAAGAUCCCCGUGGAGAAGGAAAUGGCAAUCCACUCCAGUAUUCUUGCCUGGAAAAUCCCAUGGACAGAGGAGUCUGGCAGGCUACAGUUCAUGGGGUCUCAAAGAAUGGGACACAACUGAGCAAUUUCACUUCUCACUCUCUAAAAGGAUAAUAUCCAUAGACGAAAACAAGUAAAAGUUACUAAUUUUUCUAGCACCACAUGAAAACACAUGAACAUUCCGGUUUUCAAAAUGACUGUCCAGGGUCCCCUAAAUCACCUCUGGGAAACACAGAUCCAGUUCGUCAUCAUUCCCAAUGCUCCUCACCCUGAGGCCUGCAGAGGAGAAGGCGUGGAUCUGAAGUCCCACAGUCAUGUACAGAUGUGAAAUGGGAUCAUAAAGAAGGCUGAGCGCUGAAGAAUUGAUGCUUUCAAACUGUGGUGCUGGAGAAGAUUCUUGAGAGUCCCUUAGACUGCAAGAUCAGAUCAGUCAACCCUAAAGGAAAUCAAGCCUUAAUAUACACUGGAAGGACUGAUGCUGAAGCUUCCACCUGAUGCGAAGAGCCAACUCACUGAUGGAGGAAAAGAAGAACACAAAUUAAGUGGCUUGGGACUUCCCUGGUGGUCCAGUGCCUAAGACUUCACACCCCUCAAUGCAGGGGACGUGGGUUCUAUCCAGGGAACUAGUUCUCGAGUGCUGCAAGCAAGAGUUCGCAUGCUGCAACUAAAUAUCCUGAGUGCUGAAACUAAAGCCUGGCGCAGCCAAAUAAAUAAAUAAAGAUUUUUGAAAAAGUAAAGACAAAAGAGUAUUUACAAUAUUUACAUUUUUAAAAAGAACAAGAAGUUAAGUGGCUUGUAACUUAUGGCAGUGACUUCAAGUGGAGUCUCCCAGUUCAUGAGUGCUAGGGUCAGGAUUCAAUCCAGGGAUGCCUGACUCCAGAACUAUGCCUUAUAUUUGAGUUUUUGAAACUAAUCAUAAAUACAGGACAUCAGAAGAUUAAGGAACAGGAGCAACUAGGACUGAGAGGGCUUAGUCCAAUAAGCCAACUAAGUUCAGAGACCAAGAAUGUCACUAUAAUUCUAGGUGGUAUUAACAGCUGGAGUGUCUGGAUUUGGGGACGUAGAGUCUGCUCAGUCCCCCAGGGUUCAACUUAGGCCACCCUGGUAAUCCUGUAUCCAGUUCCGAGGCUGGGCCUUAAGAG